CAGCAGCCGCGGGAAUACGAAGGGUGCAAGCGUUAAUCGGAAUUACUGGGCGUAAAGCGUGCGUAGGCGGUGAGUUAAGUCUGCUGUGAAAUCCCCGGGCUCAACCUGGGAACUGCAUUUGUGACUGGCAAGCUAGAGUGUGGCAGAGGGGGGUGGAAUUCCGCGUGUAGCAGUGAAAUGCGUAGAUAUGCGGAGGAACACCGAUGGCGAAAGCAGCCCCCUGGGCCAACACUGACGCUCAUGCACGAAAGCGUGGGGAGCAAACAGGAUUAGAUACCCCUGUAGUCCCUGUCUCUUAUAC
rnacentral:rRNA from 1 species